UUCAUACACUACUACAGAGAGAGAGAGAGAGAGAGAGAGAGAGAGAGUCAGAGGGGCGAAAUACAGAGAUAGCGGUAGGAAUAACAAGAAUCAGAGACUCAUAACUAGCGUUUGAAGUGGAAGACAAAUUCGACCCUAACAACCCCGGUUUUGUCUGAACAGCAAUCUGGGAAAGGUCCACCACUGCAGGUGAAACUUAGAAAUUCAGUUGGCCUUCCUGGGAAAAUAAAGGGGCGAGCAUGGCUGACUGAAACUGGUAUGAUGGAUCGCUUUCAUUUGCUGUAUCUGAAGACCAGUGAAUCAGAGCUGUUCCAGCGACGUUUUUCACAAGUACCUUCACAACCACCAUGAGUCGACUGGAACAGAACAUGGCGCCCCCUGCAGGCGAGUCUCACAGUCACAGUGUUCACUGACGAUGCCCAAAACCCAGAGCAAAUGCCCAAGUGAGCCUCAGCAGCCAGACAGGCAGAUCAAAACAGACUCCGAAGAAACUCUCCGGAGGCUCUUAACUUGCUGUCCAGGAAACGCACUUUCAGAUUCAGCGAAUGCCACCCCAAAAGGGUGGUGGCAGUCACUGGUCCACUUCCCUCGGGGCAGCUGGCUGACGUGUUGUUUAUUUGGCACACGCCUCCUCUUGGUACUCAAAAACUUCCUUUCAUUUCGCGAUUGAGGUCCCCGGGCAACAUUUUCUCCCUCGCGAGUCGUCAUAGCGGCAGAAUUUGUCCAGUACACUCCAGAAU